UGGGGAAUAUUGCACAAUGGGCGAAAGCCUGAUGCAGCAACGCCGCGUGAGGGACGACGGCCUUCGGGUUGUAAACCUCUUUUAGCAAGGAAGAAGCGAAAGUGACGGUACUUGCAGAAAAAGCGCCGGCUAACUACGUGCCAGCAGCCGCGGUAAUACGUAGGGCGCAAGCGUUAUCCGGAAUUAUUGGGCGUAAAGAGCUCGUAGGCGGUUUGUCGCGUCUGCUGUGAAAACCCGAGGCUCAACCUCGGGCCUGCAGUGGGUACGGGCAGACUAGAGUGCGGUAGGGGGAGAUUGGAACUCCUGGUGUAGCGGUGGAAUGCGCAGAUAUCAGGAAGAACACCGAUGGCGAAGGCAGAUCUCUGGGCCGUAACUGACACUGAGGAGCGAAAGGGUGGGGAGCAAAACAGGCUUAGAUACCCUGGUAGUCCACCCCGUAAACGUUGGGAACUAGUUGUGGGGUCCAUUCCACGGAUUCCGUGACGCAGCUAACGCAUUAAGUUCCCCGCCUGGGGAGUACGG
rnacentral:rRNA from 1 species